UUAAGCGACUAAGCGUACACGGUGGAUGCCUAGGCAAUCAGAGGCGAUGAAGGACGUGCUAAUCUGCGAAAAGCGUCGGUAAGGUGAUAUGAACCGUUAUAACCGACGAUGUCCGAAUGGGGAAACCCAGUGCAAUUCGUUGCACUAUCGUUUGAUGAAUCCAUAGUCAAACGAGGCGAACCGGGGGAACUGAAACAUCUCAGUACCCCGAGGAAAAGAAAUCAACCGAGAUUCCCCUAGUAGCGGCGAGCGAACGGGGAGCAGCCCAGAGUCUUAAUCAGCAUCAGCAUCAGGAGAACGGUCUGGAAAGGCCGGCAAUAAAGGGUGAUAGCCCCGUAUCCGAAGGUGUUAGUGUUGUGAACUCGAUGAGUAGGGCGGGACACGUGUUAUCCUGUCUGAAUAUGGGGGGACCAUCCUCCAAGGCUAAAUACUCCUGAUUGACCGAUAGUGAACCAGUACCGUGAGGGAAAGGCGAAAAGAACCCCGGCGAGGGGAGUGAAAUAGAACCUGAAACCGUGUACGUACAAGCAGUGGGAGCCUUGAUUUAUCAGGGUGACUGCGUACCUUUUGUAUAAUGGGUCAGCGACUUAUAUUCUGUAGCAAGGUUAACCGAAUAGGGGAGCCGUAGGGAAACCGAGUCUUAACUGGGCGAAUGAGUUGCAGGGUAUAGACCCGAAACCCGGUGAUCUAGCCAUGGGCAGGUUGAAGGUUGGGUAACACUAACUGGAGGACCGAACCGACUAAUGUUGAAAAAUUAGCGGAUGACUUGUGGCUGGGGGUGAAAGGCCAAUCAAACCGGGAGAUAGCUGGUUCUCCCCGAAAGCUAUUUAGGUAGCGCCUCGUGAACUCAUCUUCGGGGGUAGAGCACUGUUUCGGCUAGGGGGUCAUCCCGACUUACCAACCCGAUGCAAACUACGAAUACCGAAGAAUGUUAUCACGGGAGACACACGGCGGGUGCUAACGUUCGUCGUGAAGAGGGAAACAACCCAGACCGCCAGCUAAGGUCCCAAAGUCAUGGUUAAGUGGGAAACGAAGUGGGAAGGCUCAGACAGCCAGGAUGUUGGCUUAGAAGCAGCCAUCAUUUAAAGAAAGCGUAAUAGCUCACUGGUCGAGUCGGCCUGCGCGGAAGAUGUAACGGGGCUAAACCAUGCACCGAAGCUGCGGCAGCGACAUGUAAAUGUUGUUGGGUAGGGGAGCGUUCUGUAAGCCUGUGAAGGUGUGCUGCGAGGCAUGCUGGAGGUAUCAGAAGUGCGAAUGCUGACAUAAGUAACGAUAAUGCGGGUGAAAAACCCGCACGCCGGAAGACCAAGGGUUCCUGUCCAACGUUAAUCGGGGCAGGGUGAGUCGACCCCUAAGGCGAGGCAGAAAUGCGUAGUCGAUGGGAAACAGGUUAAUAUUCCUGUACUGGUGAUAAUUGCGAUGGGGGGACGGAGAAGGCUAGGCUGGCCGGGCGACGGUUGUCCCGGUUUAAGGAUGUAGGUGGGUGAAUUAGGCAAAUCCGGUUCACUGUACACUGAGGUCUGAUGACGAGUCACUACGGUGGCGAAGUAGCUCAUGCCCCGCUUCCAGGAAAAGCCUCUAAGCUCUAGAUUAUCAUUAAUCGUACCCCAAACCGACACAGGUGGUCAGGUAGAGAAUACUCAGGCGCUUGAGAGAACUCGGGUGAAGGAACUAGGCAAAAUGGUGCCGUAACUUCGGGAGAAGGCACGCUGGCAUUAGGUGAAGUGGUUUACCCAUGGAGCUGAAGCCAGUCGCAGAUACCAGCUGGCUGCAACUGUUUAUUAAAAACACAGCACUGUGCAAACACGAAAGUGGACGUAUACGGUGUGACGCCUGCCCGGUGCUGGAAGGUUAAUUGAUGGGGUUAUCCGUAAGGAGAAGCUCUUGAUCGAAGCCCCAGUAAACGGCGGCCGUAACUAUAACGGUCCUAAGGUAGCGAAAUUCCUUGUCGGGUAAGUUCCGACCUGCACGAAUGGCGUAAUGAUGGCCAGGCUGUCUCCACCCGAGACUCAGUGAAAUUGAACUCGCUGUGAAGAUGCAGUGUACCCGCGGCAAGACGGAAAGACCCCGUGAACCUUUACUAUAGCUUGACACUGAACAUUGAGCCUUGAUGUGUAGGAUAGGUGGGAGGCUUUGAAGUGUGGACGCCAGUCUGCAUGGAGCCAACCUUGAAAUACCACCCUUUAAUGUUUGAUGUUCUAACGUAGCCCCAUAAUCUGGGGUGCGGACAGUGUCUGGUGGGUAGUUUGACUGGGGGCGGUCUCCCUCCCCUAAGCGUAACGGAGGAGCACGAAAU
rnacentral:rRNA from 1 species